UACGGGGGGGAGCAAGCGUUGUUCGGAUUUACUGGGCGUAAAGGGCGCGUAGGCGGCCACCGCAAGUCAGUUGUGAAAUCUCUGGGCUUAACCCAGAAAGGUCAACUGAUACUGCGGGGCUAGAGUGCAGAAGGGGCAACUGGAAUUCUCGGUGUAGCGGUGAAAUGCGUAGAUAUCGAGAGGAACACCGGUGGCGAAGGCGGCCUUCUGGACAGCAACUGACGCUGAGACGCGAAAGCGUGGGGAGCAAACAGG
rnacentral:rRNA from 1 species